rnacentral:lncRNA from 1 species
CUAAUUAAACCUGAUCUUCAUGAAUCUAAGCAAGCAAGUUAUUAACCAAAAAUGGUUCAAACUCGUUGAGUAAUUAUCCUAAAACAUGUUGUAUAUUUGAUACACAUUUGUAAGCAAACUAAACUGAACUACUAGAAUGAUUAUUACUGCAUCAUAAACAUUAUUUAACUAGCAUACGUAGGAAAAGGGUUUGCAAGCUAACUACUGUGGAUCAAUACUUAUUUGUACAUAACAGACUACUCAUAUGAUUCUAAGAAAAAACUAAUGACUACAUAUCAUAUAACUUAGUAUACAAAACCACAACUAAAUAACUUCGGAGUUUUAAGACUUCGUUUCAUUCAUGCUUCAAGUUUCAGUUACAAGUGUACCGGUAUAGCAAUGUGUACCUAAUAUUUGGAAUAAAAAAGGAGAAGGAAAGUCAGUGAUGGCAGCAGCAGUAGCAUACAUAGCGCAACAACAAAUAUAACCAGCGAUAACCAGCAACAAGUAGCAGAAAAACCCAAGGACGGACUUGAAAACCAAGCAGAAAAUCCCAACGGAAAUAGUAUCCAGCACCAAUUUUGAAAAACCUACAAAAUUAUAGCAGAACCAGUAGAGCAAUAGCAAAUGACCCAGUAGCAAAAUACUAGAAGAUUUCAAGAAUACAAGGGAAUAGUAAGCUUUUGCUUUUUUCAGUUUUUAACCCUCAAAACUCUCUUUUGACUCUCAAUUUAUCUUAACAGAUUGUUCUCCCCCUUUUCUAAGUGUCAAAUGACUCUUAUUUAUAUCUAACAUCAGACUCUCCCCCUCCCCUCAUUAAUUAUUAUUACCCUUCCAAUUACCCUCCCUUUCCUUUAAUUUUCAGCCCCCCAAAUAUUCUCUUCUAUGUCUCUUUUUUAUAACCUUUAAUCAUUACUUAACUAUUUAUAAUUUCAAUUAAGUAAACACUCUCAUUACUUAGUGCCCCUUACCAAUUAGUUCAAAUUAAAGCUAUUAGGGCCCCACUGGAUAGACUACUCGGUCAAACCAGAUUUAUUUAUUUUUCUAUUCCUAAAACACCCCUGAAAUUCUACUGCAAUUAUUGCCCUGCCGUUAACCAUUAAUCAGCAUUAAACUAAUUAAAUCUACAUGAAUCCGAACAAACUGCACAUAUUAAUCUUCUAAAUAUGCAGCUAUACCCUAUUCAUAAACCUAAAAUCACAUAAUGAUUCAGACAAUCAGAAAAUAUGCUGAAAUUAUACUAGAAUAAAACAAAAUCAAUGCCUCUGUAAUUCUCAAGCACAUUUCAAUGACGACACUUAUUUAAUUGACCAAAUAGGCCACAAUGUACAACAAUUAUCGACAAACAAUUAACAGAAAAUCUACAUGUGAUUCGAGUAGUACUUGACAGAAAUAGUGGAUUAUAAUACAAUCAGCUAAUCGACGACACUAAUCAAAUCGAUUACAAACAUAUAAUCGAUAAAAAAUAAUCGACACACAAACAGUGGACAUAUGGCAUUCGGACAAAACAGGAAAAAUAUGAAACAAAUCAUUCGACAAUACUAAUCGAAUCGAAUAUGUAUUCUAUAACAAACACAUCAAACACAAACAACAACGGCCAAAUAAAAGGUAUCAUGGAGGAGAAACAGAACAGUUCGACAAGAACAAACCAAAAGGUAAAAAUAACAAAACUUAAACUAAAUGUACAUUAUGAAUAAAAAUAGAAGAAAAAGAAGAAGGAAUACCUUAGAAAACAUUAAGAAAUCAAACAUCUUGGGCCAAAUUUAGAUUUUGAAACUUUGAGGUCAAACAGACCUUAAUCGUGUGUUCUCAAUUGAGAACACUUCGACUAUGGUCUCUUAAACACUCGAACUAUCUUAAUUUGGACAUUCAAACCACGCUUGAAUUUAUAGGGUUCUUGGGGCUGGGAUUGGGGUUCGAGUAGUUCAGGUUAGAUUCAAAUCAAAGCAACCAUGGAUUGGUAACGAGGGAGGCUAGGGGAAGGUCUUGUAUGAUUUUGGGUCCGGCUGGGGUUGUUUUGUAUUUUACUCGAAUCUUCGAUUGAAGAUUCGAGAAGCUACAACAUGAUUCGAAGUUAACGGGGCAUGGAUUCGUGGAGAGGGGAGUUAGGAGGUUCCGUGGUGUUGAUUUGGUGGCAAAAGAGAACGGCGGCGCCGUGUUUUCAGGCGAGGGGAGGGGUGGUGGCUAGCUAGGGUUCUUGGGGUGUUUGGUUUUGGUGAGAGAUACGAAUGGGGAAGGGGUCGUUUGGGAAUGAACGGGUGAAAGGGGUUGGGAGAUUUUUGGGUAGGUUCGAAUGUGAUAAUUGAUUUGAG